rnacentral:rRNA from 1 species
CAGCAGCCGCGGUAAUACGUAGGGUGCGAGCGUUAAUCGGAAUUACUGGGCGUAAAGCGUGCGCAGGCGGUUAUAUAAGACAGAUGUGAAAUCCCCGGGCUCAACCUGGGACCUGCAUUUGUGACUGUAUAGCUAGAGUGCGGUAGAGGGGGAUGGAAUUCUGCGUGUAGCAGUGAAAUGCGUAGAUAUGCGGAGGAACACCGAUGGCGAAGGCAAUCCCCUGGACCUGUACUGACGCUCAUGCACGAAAGCGUGGGGAGCAAACAGGAUUAGAUACCCCCGUAGUCCCUGUCUCUUAUAC